ACACAUGCAAGUCGCACGGUCAGCAAUGGCAGUGGCGGACGGGUGAGUAACACGUAGGAAUCUAUCCCAGGGUGGGGGACAACAGCGGGAAACUGCUGCUAAUACCGCAUGAUACCUGAGGGUCAAAGGCGCAAGUCGCCUUGGGAGGAGCCUGCGUCUGAUUAGCUAGUUGGUGGGGUAAAGGCCUACCAAGGCGACGAUCAGUAGCUGGUCUGAGAGGAUGAUCAGCCACAUUGGGACUGAGACACGGCCCAAACUCCUACGGGAGGCAGCAGUGGGGAAUAUUGGACAAUGGGGGAAACCCUGAUCCAGCAAUGCCGCGUGUGUGAAGAA
rnacentral:rRNA from 1 species